GACGAACGCUGGCGGCGUGCCUAAUACAUGCAAGUUGAGCGCUUAAGGUUGGUCCUUGUACCAACUGGAUGAGCAGCGAACGGGUGAGUAACGCGUGGGGAAUCUGCCUUUGAGCGGGGGACAACAUUUGGAAACGAAUGCUAAUACCGCAUAAAAACUUUAAACACAAGUUUUAAGUUUGAAAGAUGCAAUUGCAUCACUCAAAGAUGAUCCCGCGUUGUAUUAGCUAGUUGGUGAGGUAAAGGCUCACCAAGGCGAUGAUACAUAGCCGACCUGAGAGGGUGAUCGGCCACAUUGGGAAUGAGACACGGCCCAAACUCCUACGGGAGGAAGCAGUAGGGAAUCUUCGGCAAUGGACGAAAGUCUGACCGAGCAACGCCGCGUGAGUGAAGAAGGUUUUCGGAUCGGAAAACUCUGUUGGUAGAGAAGAACGUAGGUGAGAGUGGAAAGCUCAUCAAGUGACGGUAACUACCCAGAAAGGGACGGCUAACUACGUG
rnacentral:rRNA from 1 species